UACGAAGGACCCGAGCGUUAUCCGGAUUUAUUGGGUUUAAAGGGUGCGUAGGCGGAUUAGUAAGUCAGUGGUGAAAGCCCAUCGCUUAACGGUGGAAUUGCCAUUGAUACUGCUAGUCUUGAGUAUGGUUGAGGUGGGCGGAAUGUGUCAUGUAGCGGUGAAAUGCUUAGAUAUGACCCAGAACACCAAUUGCGAAGGCAGCUCGCUAAGCCAUAACUGACGCUGAGGCUACGAAAGCGUGGGGAUCAAACAGG
rnacentral:rRNA from 1 species